CUACGGGGGGUGCAAGUGUUAAUCGGAAUUACUGGGCGUAAAGCGCGCGUAGGCGGUUUGCUCAGUCGGAUGUGAAAGCCCAGGGCUCAACCUUGGAACUGCAUACGAUACUGGCAAACUAGAGUGUGAGAGAGGAUAGUGGAAUUUCCGGUGUAGCGGUGAAAUGCGUAGAUAUCGGAAGGAACAUCAGUGGCGAAGGCGACUGUCUGGCUCAACACUGACGCUGAGGUGCGAAAGCGUGGGUAGCAAACAGGAUUAGAUACCCUAGUAGUCC
rnacentral:rRNA from 1 species